GACGAACGCUGGCGGCGUGCCUAAUACAUGCAAGUUGAGCGCUGAAGGUUGGUACUUGUACCAACUGGAUGAGCAGCGAACGGGUGAGUAACGCGUGGGGAAUCUGCCUUUGAGCGGGGGACAACAUUUGGAAACGAAUGCUAAUACCGCAUAAAAACUUUAAACACAAGUUUUAAGUUUGAAAGAUGCAAUUGCAUCACUCAAAGAUGAUCCCGCGUUGUAUUAGCUAGUUGGUGAGGUAAAGGCUCACCAAGGCGAUGAUACAUAGCCGACCUGAGGAGGUGAUCGGCCACAUUGGGACUGAGACACGGCCCAAACUCCUACGGGAGGCAGCAGUAGGGAAUCUUCGGCAAUGGACGAAAGUCUGACCGAGCAACGCCGAGUGAGUGAAGAAGGUUUUCGGAUCGUAAAACUCUGUUGGUAGAGAAGAACGUUGGUGAGAGUGGAAAGCUCAUCAAGUGACGGUAACUACCCAGAAAGGGACGGCUAACUACGUG
rnacentral:rRNA from 1 species